UACGUAGGGGGCGAGCGUUGUCCGGAUUUACUGGGCGUAAAGCGCACGUAGGCGGAUUGUUAAGUGAGAGGUGAAAUCCCAGAGCUCAACUCUGGAACUGCCUUUCAUACUGGCAAUCUAGAGUCCGGAAGAGGUAAGUGGAACUCCUAGUGUAGAGGUGGAAUUCGUAGAUAUUAGGAAGAACACCAGUGGCGAAGGCGGCUUACUGGUCCGGUACUGACGCUGAGGUGCGAAAGCGUGGGGAGCGAACAGG
rnacentral:rRNA from 1 species